rnacentral:rRNA from 1 species
CUGACCUUAAACGAUGCCAACUGGCGAUCCGUCAGGGGUAAUUCCAUGACCUGACGGGCAGCUUCCGGGAAACCAAAGUUUUUGGGUUCCGGGGGAAGUAUGGUUGCAAAGCUGGAACUUAAAGGAAUUGACGGAAGGGCACCACCAGGAGUGGAGCCUGUGGCUUAAUUUGACUCAACACGGGAAACCUCACCAGGCCCAGACACUAGAAGGAUUGACAGAUUGAGAGCUCUUUCUUGAUUUGGUGGGUGGUGGUGCAUGGCCGUUCUUAGUUGGUGGAGUGAUUUGUCUGGUUAAUUCCGAUAACGAACGAGACUCUGGCCUACUAAAUAGACGGUGGAUCUUUGCGUCCACUCUGUCUUCUUAGAGGGACAAGGCAGCUCUAAGCUGCGUGAAAUGGGGCAAUAACAGGUCUGUGAUGCCCUUAGAUGUUCUGGGCCGCACACGCGCUACACUGAAGGAGGCAACGUGUUUGUCUGGCUCGAAAGGGUCGGGUAACCCGUUUAAUCUCCUUCGUGCUGGGGAUUGAGGUUUGCAAUUGUCCUUCAUGAACGAGGAAUUCCCAGUAAGUGCAAGUCAUAAGCUUGCGCUGACUACGUCCCUGCCCUUUGUACACACCGCCCGUCGCUACUACCGAUUGAAUGAUUUAGUGAGGACUUCGGACUGAGGCCGAUGCGACUUUCGGGUUGCGUCGGUAUUUCGGAAAGAUGUCCAAACUGUAUCAUUUAGAGGAAGUAAAAGUCGUAACAAGGUUUCCGUAGGUGAAC